rnacentral:rRNA from 1 species
CCUACGGGGGGCUGCAGUAGGGAAUCUUCCACAAUGGGCGAAAGCCUGAUGGAGCAACGCCGCGUGUGUGAUGAAGGCUUUAGGGUCGUAAAGCACUGUUGUAUGGGAAGAAAUGCUAGAAUAGGGAAUGAUUCUAGUUCGACGGUACCAUACCAGAAAGGGACGGCUAAAUACGUGCCAGCAGCCGCGGUAAUACGUAUGUCCCGAGCGUUAUCCGGAUUUAUUGGGCGUAAAGCGAGCGCAGACGGUUGAUUAAGUCU